rnacentral:sRNA from 2 species
CCAAUAGCGUAUAUUAAAGUUGUUGCAGUUAAAAAGCUCGUAGUUGAAUUUCGGGAUCAAGGGAUCGGUCAUGCCUUGGUAUGUACUGGUCUUAUUGGUUCUCACCUUCUAAAGAACCAUGAUGUCAUUCAUUUGAUGUUAUGGGGAAUUAGGACUGUUACCUUGAAAAAAUUAGAGUGUUUAAAGCAAGCUUACGCUUGAAUACAUUAGCAUGGAAUAAUGAAAUAGGACAUCAGAUUCUAUUUUGUUGGUUUCUAGGAUCGAUGUAAUGAUUAAUAGGGAUAGUUGGGGGCAUUAGUAUUCAAUUGUCAGAGGUGAAAUUCUUGGAUUUAUUGAAGACUAACUACUGCGAAAGCAUUUGCCAAGGAUGUUUUCAUUAAUCAAGAACGAAAGUUAGGGGAUCGAAGACGAUCAGAUACCGUCGUAGUCUUAACCAUAAACUAUGCCGACUAGGGAUCGGAUGAUGUUAAUUUUUUAAUGACUCAUUCGGCACCUUACG